rnacentral:rRNA from 1 species
UAGAGUUUGAUCCUGGCUCAGGACGAACGCUGGCGGCGUGCUUAACACAUGCAAGUCGAGCGGAAAGGCCCUUCGGGGUACUCGAGCGGCGAACGGGUGAGUAACACGUGAGCAACCUGCCCCAGGCUUUGGGAUAACCCCGGGAAACCGGGGCUAAUACCGAAUAUGACCUCUGACCGCAUGGUUGGUGGUGGAAAGUUUUUCGGCUUGGGAUGGGCUCGCGGCCUAUCAGCUUGUUGGUGGGGUGAUGGCCUACCAAGGCGACGACGGGUAGCCGGCCUGAGAGGGCGACCGGCCACACUGGGACUGAGACACGGCCCAGACUCCUACGGGAGGCAGCAGUGGGGAAUAUUGCACAAUGGGCGGAAGCCUGAUGCAGCGACGCCGCGUGAGGGAUGACGGCCUUCGGGUUGUAAACCUCUUUCAGCAGGGACGAAGCGUAAGUGACGGUACCUGCAGAAGAAGCGCCGGCCAACUACGUGCCAGCAGCCGCGGUAAGACGUAGGGCGCGAGCGUUGUCCGGAUUUAUUGGGCGUAAAGAGCUCGUAGGCGGCUUGUCGCGUCGACCGUGAAAACUUGGGGCUCAACCCCAAGCCUGCGGUCGAUACGGGCAGGCUAGAGUUCGGUAGGGGAGACUGGAAUUCCUGGUGUAGCGGUGAAAUGCGCAGAUAUCAGGAGGAACACC